AAUAAGUUACGACACCCUUUGAUUUAAUUGUGGUUUACAAUCUAAUUUAAUCAUAAAGGAUGCCGGCGCGGGGCGAAGGUUUGCGGGGGACUUGAAAAGCCACGGUUUUGGGAGAUUUGGAGAAGUUGGAGGUGCUGGUUUCCCCCUUUUAGAAAGUACUGCUUUUAGUACGGGUUUUGUUUUUCGGUUGCGUUUUUUAAAUCAUUAAAGACAGUGGAGAAGCCGGAAAAAUGUGGCAAGGAAGCUUGAAGUGGAUAAGAUCUCUCCCUCUUUGCUAGAAGCCUCUGACCACUUGGAUCUUAGAGCUUCGGAAAACGUCAGUGACAGUGGGCAGAGCCGAGGACGGAUGUCCCUGCUAGACCCAGACGUAGACAGGAAAACGGGAAUCUUGCCCUGUGACACUGACGCGACCAUUAAUGCACUAGGUAUAAACUUGAUCUUUGCAAGAACAGGGUGGUAUGCGUCUUCAAGAAAAACCCUACGAGAAUUUGCUGUGAGCUUUUUGAAAUGUCUGAGUCAACUAGCAUGGCAACAGAAAUAUUAAGAUGUCUGGGAAUUUUCACAUAUCUAGGCUGACCAUGUAUUGGUACUUUUUAUGAAUAUUCCAGGACUUUUAGUAUCCAAUAUUGGUGGUACGUGUUACAUCAUUGGACUUUUUAAAGCUGAUAACAUUAUUGAGCCUUGAUCCUUCAAUGUUGAGACUUGAAACCAAAAGUACUCUUUAUUGACGCUUUUCUUUUUGUUUAUAAAGGGUAAGGUUGUGUUGUGAGUUGUUGGCUGACAGUGGUAACCGGGUAGGCUUACAGUGCUGGGAGGUGGGUUUGUGUGAGUGUGAAAUUACACUUUGCAGUCCUAGGGACAAACAGUGCAAUUAACGAGAAGACGAAUCGUCUUGCUUGUGAAAGAAUUAAUGUUAAAAUAGUUAUGCUCACUUACAUUGAAUUAACAUUGGAGCUUCCUGUGUUUCAGCAAAAAAACAGAUUGAACUUUGCUGAUUGCAUUUUAAAAUGUCAGAUGUUUCUGUAGGAGCGAAUCUCAUUUACAGGCUUUAAAAUAAUUUUAAAAAUUAAAUGACACUAAAUGAAGGAUUUUGACCUUGGUUUAAAGGCAUUUUGCUUCUGUUGGGUUUCCCAUUUAAUGUGCUAUUUAAAUGCAAAGGAACCACAACGUUCUGUCUCCUGGGUGGCCACACAGCAACCUUACACUCUCCUUCCGGAGCCUUGAAACUCAUGCAUUGUCCUUUUAGCUUUCUCUUCCCUCCUGGUGUGCACACGGGAGAAUGGUCUCCUGCCCACUUAAGGAUAGCUGGCCAUGGUUUCCAGUACCCCUCUCUUGAAGUUUCUGGAGAGGUCUCAGGACUGAGUUGGAAAAUGUUAUAUUCCGUUUGAUAAGUGCUUGGGCUCAUCACCUCCAGCAAAAUUUGCUCUGUAUGAAGCCUCCAUUUUAUAUCAUCCUGCAUGCUGCAAGAUAUGUUCACUGCUUAUUCUAACACGUAGUUAGAAUGAAAUAGAUUUAUGUCAUUAAAAUAAUGCCAUUACCGGUACUUUCUCUAGGCCCAGUGAUGAAGAAAAGCUGGAAUGUGCGUAGCAUCAAUCACAAAUUGAAACGCUUUGGGGAAUACUGUUUUCAAGUCAGAGAAGGUUUGGAAGCUAAUGUUCAGAUCAGGGGACCGGGAAGUAGUUGCAAGAUUUUAUUAAUAGCUGCAAUUAUAAAAUAUUACUAAUUCUAUUUUAGACCGUAUUUUAAGGCCUUAACGAUUCUGCAGUGCUUUGAGAUCCCUUGAUUAAAGGUGAUAUGCAAGGGCAAAGCAGUAUUAUGUAAUAAACAUAUAAUGCCCUGAUGUUGCUAUUUCAGAGUGUCUAAGGUACAGCUCAGAUGAGAUUGUUCUGAGUAUUUUUUAUGUCUCAUUUUCUAGCUAUUCAACUUGUUAGAGGUCUUCAGAUUUUUGCCUCCUAUGUUAAAUAAAGCCUUUUAAACCUUCAUUUACUGCUGCUUACCAUCACGUUUUUGCUUAAGAAGUGCCUUCAUUUGAUAGGCUCCUAGAAGUCUCAACUUUUUGCAAUGUAACAUGACGAAUAUUGGUUACAAGUUGUCCACUCUGAAUCCUUCUGCAGCUCAUGUUCCUCUCCUGGGACAACAACCGUUUUUAGUUCAUUCCAGCUCACAGUGACCUUUCCUCCUGUGCACCAUUUUCUGUCAUCAUUUGAGAUUCUACUUAUACAAUGUCAAAGCUGUAUGGAUAUGUAUGUGUUUUUAUUAUGUCGUGCUUUCUAAAACAGAAUAGAUGUUUAAAAACUG